CUUUCUUAUCUUCAUUUUCAUCAAACUCAAUCGGCUGAGCAUCUGCAUCUCUCUCUCUCUCUCUCUCUCUGCAUGUUCAUCCAUCUCUCCAUCUUUAGUAAACCAAUCGGCUGAUCAAAUCAAGAGCCUAUGAUGAGCCAAUCGGUUGUUCAUCCAUCUUUUCCAUCUUCAUUUUUUAAGUUACCCCUCUCUCUCUUUCUCUCUCUCUCCAUGUUGAUUUUUAUUUUUAUUUUUUAUUGUUGAUGUUGUUGAUCAAGUCCAAAGCCUAUGAUUAAGGCAGAGCUACAAAGAUCUACCUCUGAGUCUAGACAAACCCAUUUCCCUUUAGAUCUGUGUCUGUUUCAGACCAAAUUAGUUGAAAAAAAUACAACAGAUACAGACCAAAUAUGUCAUCAAUCAUGCUAGAAUCCAGCUUGUGCCCUACCAUGCCAGAUAAAAUCUCUUGUUCUAAUCAAACAAAUAGAAGAAAGACCUGGAGAAGAGAGAACCGACAGAGAGAAAGAGAGAACAAAGAGAGAAAAGGGAGAAGAAAGAAGAUAAAGAAGAGAGAAAAGAGGGAGGGCUCAAGAAUUUCAACAAAUUCAACCUAAAAAGUGUUCCAAGGUCAGACUAUCGGAAAACAUUAUCAAAACCAAGCCCACUGUAAGCAGAUACGUGACCAGGCCCAGAGUUGACGGCCUAUGUUUCUGUUUUAUCAACCAACUACCGUGCCUCCUGAGAAGGUUCCUUUGAAAGGAUUAUGUCAAGGCUUUAGUUGAGCUUGUUUUGUAUAUCUAUACUUGGGCUAAGUACCCUUUGACCCUAUCUGUGUAAUUGAGUGACGUAAGACUAAUGUAUUUUUGACGUCACAUCUGUAUAUAUAUAAGUUUGUUUUGAAAA